GCGCGCUGGGUCAGGUGGUUCUUAACAGUUCAACAGUUCUGUAGCGCAAUUGUGAAUGUUUAGGACCAGCUUAGACCCGGC
rnacentral:pre_miRNA from 1 species